rnacentral:rRNA from 1 species
GUCCACGCCCUAAACGAUGUCAACUAGGUGUUGGGAGGGUAAAACCUUUUAGUACCGGAGCUAACGCGUGAAGUUGACCGCCUGGGGAGUACGGCCGCAAGGUUAAAACUCAAAGGAAUUGACGGGGACCCGCACAAGCGGUGGAUGAUGUGGAUUAAUUCGAUGCAACGCGAAAAACCUUACCUACCCUUGACAUGUCCAGGAGCCUGAAGAGAUUUGGGUGUGCCCGAAAGGGAACUGGAACACAGGUGCUGCAUGGCUGUCGU